UGCUGGUGUGAUGAGUCAGUGGUCCUCAGUGCCACCAUGACACCUCUACACACAUGCAGUACACACACACACACACACACACACACACACCUCUACACACAUGCAGUACACACACACACACACACCAUGACACCUCUCUCUACACAUGCAGUACACACACACACACACACACCUCUCCACCUCUCUCUACACACAUGCAGUACACACACACACACACACACACACACCUCUCCACCUCUCUCUCUACACACAUGCAGUACACACACACACACACACACCUCUCCACCUCUCUCUACACACAUGCAGUACACACACACACACACACACCAUGACACCUCUCUCUCUCCACACAUGCAGUACACACACACACACACACACACACACACACACACACCUCUCUCUACACACAUGCAGUACACACACACACACACACACACACACACACACCUCUCUACACACAUGCAGUACACACACACACACACACACACACACCAUGACACCUCUCUCUACACAUGCAGUACACACACACACACACACCUCUCCACCUCUCUCUACACACAUGCAGUACACACACACACACACACACACCUCUCCACCUCUCUCUACACACAUGCAGUACACACACACACACACACACACCAUGACACCUCUCUCUACACACAUGCAGUACACACACACACACACACACACACACACCUCUCCACCUCUCUCUACACACAUGCAGUACACACACACACACACACACACCAUGACACCUCUCUCUACACACACACACACACACACACACACACACCAUGACACCUCUCUCUCCACACAUGCAGUACACACACACACACACACACACACACACACACACACCUCUACACACACACAUGCAGUACACACACACACACACCUCUCCACCUCUCUCUCCACACAUACAGUACACACACACACACACACACACCUCUCUCUACACACAUGCAGUACACACACACACACACACACCGUGACACCUCUCUCUCCACACAUGCAGUACACACACACACACACACCUCUCUCUACACACAUGCAGUACACACACACACACACACUCAUUUGUAAUGAAAAAUGAAAUGAAAAAGACAACAGUCAAUUCAGUGCACAAUAUGAAUCACCCGUUUUGUUUUAUGUGCGCAAAACAUGUGAUCUCUUCAAUAUUUCGUUGGCACAAUGAUAACAGGC
rnacentral:lncRNA from 1 species